GUCUCACUCUGCUGGUAUUGAUGGCUGGUAAAGGUCUCACACUCUGCUGGUAUUGAUGGCUGGUAUAGGUCUCACACUCUGCUGGUAUUGAUGGAUGGUAUAGGUCUCACACUCUGCUGGUAUUGAUGGUUGGUAUAGGUCUCACUCUGCUGGUAUUGAUGGAUGGUAUAGGUCUCACUCUGCUGGUAUUGAUGGAUGGUAUAGGUCUCACUCUGCUGGUAUUGAUGGAUGGUAUAGGUCUCACUCUGCUGGUAUUGAUGGCUGGUAUAGGUCUCACUCUGCUGGUAUUGAUGGAUGGUAUAGGUCUCACUCUGCUGGUAUUGAUGGCUGGUAUAGGUCUCACUCUGCUGGUAUUGAUGGAUGGUAUAGGUAUCACACUGCUGGUAUUGAUGGAUGGUAUAGGUCACACUCUGCUGGUAUUGAUGGAUGGUAUAGGUCUCACACUCUGCUGGUAUUGAUGGAUGGUAUAGGUCUCACUCUGCUGGUAUUGAUGGAUGGUAUAGGUCUCACACUCUGCUGGUAUUGAUGGAUGGUAUAGGUCUCACACUCUGCUGGUAUUGAUGGAUGGUAUAGGUCUCACUCUGCUGGUAUUGAUGGAUGGUAUAGGUCUCACACUCUGCUGGUAUUGAUGGAUGGUAUAGGUCUCACACUCUGCUGGUAUUGAUGGAUGGUAUAGGUCUCACACUCUGCUGGUAUUGAUGGAUGGUAUAGGUCUCACUCUGCUGGUAUUGAUGGCUGGUAUAGGUCUCACACUCUGCUGGUAUUGAUGGAUGGUAUAGGUCUCACUCUGCUGGUAUUGAUGGAUGGUAUAGGUCUCACACUCUGCUGGUAUUGAUGGAUGGUAUAGGUCUCACUCUGCUGGUAUUGAUGGCUGGUAUAGGUCUCACACUCUGCUGGUAUUGAUGACUGGUAUAGGUCUCAC
rnacentral:lncRNA from 1 species